rnacentral:rRNA from 1 species
UGCCUGGCGGCCUUAGCGCGGUGGUCCCACCUGACCCCAUGCCGAACUCAGAAGUGAAACGCCGUAGCGCCGAUGGUAGUGUGGGGUCUCCCCAUGCGAGAGUAGGGAACUGCCAG